CAGAGGCGGCACCAAGGACCCGCUUACAAAAGAGGCACACACGGCAUCGGCAGCGGCAGUCGGCGACGGAGUUGUAUGCAGACAAUAACCACCUGACUCUGCAGCGGCCUCGUCCCAAAAAAGCUUGAAAUAUCCGUUGUUCGGCCUAUAUACAAGAAAGCUACACGGGUCAACAAGUACCGGUUACGUACUGGCGCCGGAUCGCAAAAAGCCUGCUACGCCAAAACUGACAGUCCUACGGCUGCGCUGUUACGUUCAACAUCCUCAAACAACCGUGAAACUCACCCAUACAGCAGCCAACUCGCCCAGACUACAGUUCCUUGAAGACGCUUCACAACAAAGCAAACCAAAUCUCCAACGUGCGGAGGCCCAGUGACUCGUCGUGGAAGCGAAUGAAGUGAAUGUGGAUGUGUUCUUUUCUCACUUAAUUUUCUCAUUUUCUUUAUUUUAUAUUUCUUGUAUCUUGCUUCUUUUAAUUUAUACCUUGUUUCAUCAAUGUACCUCUAUAGUGCAUUCAAUGUAUCAAAUAUUAUAAGGAUGUUGUGAUCGAGUGGAUGAGCAAGACAAAAUAAUAAAGAAUAGUUGAUGGUCAGCUUUGUGUAUAUGUGCCUCAUUGUGCAAUUGUUAAAUUUUCAAGCUGUUUCUGCAUAAUCAUGUACAGAACAGCACGUGCUUCGUUAUGUCAGUGAUCGUUAGCGUAAGUCCCUAAGCAACAAUAAAAUAGUCGCAAGCCCCGCUGGACCAACACGGAUUGAGACAGGUGUAAUGCGAGUCUCCAGGAAAAUAUUUCAAUUCAAUUUCGUUUUAAUUUUUAUGUUUCCAACACAUUGUUGGAGGCCCUCAAAUGAAAAGCUCUCACAGAGAGCUUGAUACUGUCUGGGAGCCUGUACAAGGAGCAGCGUUUCAGUCCUUUAAAUUUACGUGGCACGUCGUCACAUGAAUUUACAUAGCCUAGUUUUGACGCUCUUCGCAGCUAAUUUAUAAAGAAACAAUCAGUUGCAGCACACAAAUAUGUUUAUAUGUAAAGUAAUAUAAUAAAUUUCAAGGACUGUGUUCCUAACAAAGUCCGUAAACAACGUCACAAGACAACCGUGGUUUCUUUUUUUCUCGAAAGCGGUGUUGAGUUUGCUGUUUCCUGGAAACCGAUGAAUCAUAUAUUGAAUUAAACAUAUUUUUUUCUCAGUAUUUUCGGUUUUCAGUUCUGUGUGUUUUUGAAUGGCCAGUGGGGUAUCACAAACUCUGAACUGACGGCAUAUAUACAAAUAUAUAUUCCGUGUGUUUUGGCG